GGCCGGUUAGCUCAGUGGUUUGAGCACAGUGCUGACAACAAUGAUAACACCGAGGUCGUGGGUUUGAUUCCCGCUUGGUCCC
rnacentral:tRNA from 1 species